CAGGAUUCCCUUUUGUUUCAUUUCACUCUUGUUUUAGGAGUAGAUUUGUUGUGGUCCUGCAAAAGAAUCCUUGGCAUAGACUUAAAAUAAUCUUAUGUGUGCCUAGAGAUGGUUUUAUCCCAAAAUUUGAAGUUAAAAAGAAAUUGGAUCAAUAUACCUGCAACUUCUCUGUCAGGAACUGAAUGGCAAGAACAAGGUUUAAAUUUGAAAGAUUUGCUAAUAAGGUAUUGAUUAAAAACCCUGUCCAUGUUGGAAAACAUCCAUGUUUUCCAUGCUGGAAAAACUCAGUUAACUUUCUGAUGCUCAAGAAACUAAUCUAACAUGAAUUAUCUGGCUUAACAAACCAUAUGAUAUUAAAAAGGGCUCCACUAUCUGCAGCAACAGUUGAAGAUAGCAGUGCUAGCCAUCAUGGCUCACCUAUGGACUGGUCUACAUUAGCAAGAGCUUGAGCUCCGGCUUUGAGGACUGACAAUGUAAUAACUCUCCAACAGCACCCCUAUUCAAGCACCACAAGUCUGAAGUGGGAUACCAGGACCUACUAAAAUGAAGGUGCAAUUUGGAGAGGUGGAACA